UACAGAGGAUGCAAGCGUUAUCCGGAAUGAUUGGGCGUAAAGCGUCUGUAGGUGGCUUUUUAAGUCCGCCGUCAAAUCCCAGGGCUCAACUCUGGACAGGCGGUGGAAACUACCAAGCUGGAGUACGGUAGGGGCAGAGGGAAUUUCCGGUGGAGCGGUGAAAUGCUUAGAUAUCGUCAAGAACACCAAUAGUGAAGACAGCUUACUGGGCUUAAACUGACGCUGAGGCACGAAAGUGUGGGGAUCAAACAGG
rnacentral:rRNA from 1 species